AUUUUUCAAUAAUAUUUUCCUUGUAUGGAUCAAUGUAAAACGAAUUUUGCACUGGUUUAUAUUUUUUGGAAAUAUUAUUACUAAAUAAAUUCUUUUGUAGGCAUUUUUACAAAUUAACCGUGUACCAUAUUCGGUCCUUAAACGUGAAAUAAAACACAUAUGUAAAACGGAUGUUUUUGUAUUCAAUGGUAAAAUUCAUUCAUUGGAACAAUGAAGACGUUGCUCGAUGUUUUAAACUUCUUAUUAAAGAUAUUAUCAGAGAAACUAUUAUAUACAUUAAUUUUUUUUUUAUUUUUCAAUAAUAUUUUCAAUGUAUGGAUCAAUGUAAGACAAAUAAUGCACUUGUUUCAUAUUCCAUGAAAAUAUUAUUACAAAAGGCUUUUUUUUUGAGGGCAUAUUGAAAAUAUAAAACGUUUAUCGAAAUCGUUAAUUGGGUGUGUUAUAGAACACGUUUGUAAAGCUAAUGUUUUGGUAAUCAUUGGUGACCAAUGAAGACGUUGCUUGAUGUUUUAAACUUCUUAUUAAAGAUAUUAUCAGAGAAACUAUUAUAUUUACUUAGUAUUUGUAUUUUUUAAUAAUAUUUUCUUUGUAUGGAUCAAUGUAAGACAAAUUAUGCACUUGUUUCAUAUUCCAUGAAAAUAUAUUUACUAAAAACAUUAUUUUGUAGGCAUUUUUACAAAUUGAAUGUUUAUGAGUUUAUUUAUUGGAACAAUGAAGACGUUGCUCGAUGUUUUAAACUUCUUAUUAAAGAUAUUAUCGGAGAAACUAUUAUAUUUUUUAAGUAGUUUUAUUUUUCAAUAAUAUAUUCCUUGUAGGGAUCAAUGUAAAACGAAUUAUGCUCUGGUUUUUAUUUUUUGAAAAUAUUAUUCCUUAAUCAAUUCUUUUGUAGGCAUUUUUACAAAUUUUAUGUUUAUGAAUUCAUUCAUUGGAACAAUGAAGACGCUGCUCGAUGUUUUAAACUUCUUAUUAAAGAUAUUAUCAGAGAAACUAUUAUAUACAUUAAUUUUUUUUUAAUUUUUCAAUAAUAUUUUCCAUGUAUGGAUCAAUGUAAAACGAAUUUUGCACUGGUUUAUAUUUUUUGGAAAUAUUAUUACUAAAUAAAUUCUUUUGUAGGCAUUUUUACAAAUUUAAUGUUUAUGAAUUCAUUUAUUGGAACAAUGAAGACGUUGCUCGAUGUUUUAAACUUCUUAUUAAAGAUAUUAUCAGAAUAACUAUUAUAUACAUUAAGUAUUUUUAUUUUUUCAAUAAUAUUUUCCUUGUAUGGAUC